GGGUUGUGAGGUUAAGCGACUAAGCGUACACGGUGGAUGCCCUGGCAGUCAGAGGCGAUGAAGGACGUGCUAAUCUGCGAAAAGCGUCGGUAAGGUGAUAUGAACCGUUAUAGCCGGCGAUGUCCGAAUGGGGAAACCCAGUGCAAUUCGUUGCACUAUCGUUAACUGAAUACAUAGGUUAACGAGGCGAACCGGGGGAACUGAAACAUCUAAGUACCCCGAGGAAAAGAAAUCAACCGAGAUUCCCCCAGUAGCGGCGAGCGAACGGGGAGCAGCCCAGAGUCUGAAUCAGCUUGUGUGUUAGUGGAACGGUCUGGAAAGUCCGACGGUACAGGGUGAUAGUCCCGUACACCAAAAUGCACAGGUUGUGAACUCGAAGAGUAGGGCGGGACACGUGGUAUCCUGUCUGAAUAUGGGGGGACCAUCCUCCAAGGCUAAAUACUCCUGACUGACCGAUAGUGAACCAGUACCGUGAGGGAAAGGCGAAAAGAACCCCGGCGAGGGGAGUGAAAAAGAACCUGAAACCGUGUACGUACAAGCAGUGGGAGCACCUUCGGGUGUGACUGCGUACCUUUUGUAUAAUGGGUCAGCGACUUAUAUUCUGUAGCAAGGUUAACCGUAUAGGGGAGCCGCAGGGAAACCGAGUCUUAACUGGGCGUUAAGUUGCAGGGUAUAGACCCGAAACCCGGUGAUCUAGCCAUGGGCAGGUUGAAGGUUGGGUAACACUAACUGGAGGACCGAACCGACUAAUGUUGAAAAAUUAGCGGAUGACUUGUGGCUGGGGGUGAAAGGCCAAUCAAACCGGGAGAUAGCUGGUUCUCCCCGAAAGCUAUUUAGGUAGCGCCUCGUGAA
rnacentral:rRNA from 1 species